GAUGAACGCUGGCGGCGUGCCUAAUACAUGCAAGUCGAGCGGACGGACGAGAAGCUUGCUGCUCUGAUGUUAGCGGCGGGCGGGAGAGUAACACGUGGAUAACCUACCUAUAAUACGGGGAUAACUUCGGAAAACCGUAGCUUAUAGCGGAUAAUCUUUUGAACCGCGGGGUUCGAAGGUGAGAUACGGUGUUGCUGGAACUUAUAGAGGCAUCCGGGCUGCAUUAGCUAGUUGGUAAGGUAACGGGUUACCAAGGCAACUAGGCAUAGCCGACCUGUGAGGGUGAUCGCCCACCUGGGAACGGAGCCAGGCUCCAUACUACUACGGGACGCAGCAGUAGGGAAUCUUCCGCAAUGGGCGAAAGCCUUACGGAGUAACGCGGCGUGAGAUAUGACGGUCUCCCGAUCGUAAAACUGUGUUACUAGUUAAGAACAGAUUUGUACGUAAAUGUGCCGAGCUUGACGGUAACGAAUCAGAAAGCCCCGGCUAACUACGUG
rnacentral:rRNA from 1 species